rnacentral:rRNA from 1 species
CCUACGGGAGGCAGCAGUGAGGAAUAUUGGUCAAUGGACGAGAGUCUGAACCAGCCAAGUAGCGUGAAGGAUGACUGCCCUAUGGGUUGUAAACUUCUUUUAUAUGGGAAUAAAAUGUUCCACGUGUGGGAUUUUGUAUGUACCAUAUGAAUAAGGAUCGGCUAACUCCGUGCCAGCAGCCGCGGUAAUACGGAGGAACCGAGCGUUAUCCGGAUUUAUUGGGUUUAAAGGGAGCGUAGGUGGAUUGUUAAGUCAGUUGUGAAAGUUUGCGGCUCAACCGUAAAAUUGCAGUUGAAACUGGCAGUCUAGAGUACAGUAGAGGUGGGCGGAAUUCGUGGUGUAGCGGUGAAAUGCUUAGAUAUCACGAAGAACUCCGAUUGCGAAGGCAGCUCACUGGACUGCAACUGACACUGAGGCUCGAAAGUGUGGGUAUCAAACAGGAUUAGAUCCCCGGGUAGUC